rnacentral:rRNA from 1 species
GGUGGCAUUUUAUUUUAUUAGAGGAACUUGUUAUUUAAUCGAUAACCCCCGUUAAUAUUUACUUUAUUUCAAAAUUUAUAUACCUCCAUCAAAAGAAUUUUUUAUCAAAUUUAUUCUCAAUAUUUAAAAAAAUGUUAGGUCAAGGUGUAGUCAACAAUAAAGAAUUAAUGAGUUACUUUAAAUAAAAUUUAAGGAUUUUUCCUUUCAAUAAUAAAAUGAAAAAGGAUUUAUUAGUAAUUAAUAAAUAAUAAUUAUUAAUGAAAAAGAUAAUAAAUGUGCACACAUCGCCCGUCGCUCUU